AGUUGAAGACCCCUUCUUGAUAAUGGAUGUUUUAUAGUUAGAGACUCUGUCACUAGUGGGGUUUCACUCACCGUCCUGGUGCCCUAUCAGUAAUUACUUCUUCCCUGUGGGGCUGUUCAGCAGUGACCAUAUCAGUGUGAAUUGCGAUGAAAUCACAACGGGUGGAGAAAUUGAAGCAUAGAGGGAAGAAAUGCUGUCUGUGUUUAUAUGGCAUGCCAGUGACAGAGAAUUUGGACUUGCACACAUAUUUCUCAUAAUUUCACAAUCAGGAAGCAGCUAAAAUCUGAUGAGGCUGCCUCAAGUUUCUUGUCCUGGCCUCUGGGAAUUCCACCAGCUUGAAGAAAGAGCAAAUGAGAGAAGUAGGAAUGGUAAGAGUCAAUUGCACUAAUUUUAUCUGUCAAUGAAGAAGAAGGAGGAAGAGAUGCAAAUGGAAUAUCCUGCACCCUGACACCAACUGUCAGAAUGACUUCUUAGCUUCUCCUGCAGGGGAUUGCAAAUGUUGUUGCCUGGACACCAUGCUAUCUUAGACUGAAGGAGCUCUCAUCAGUUCCUAAAUCAGUGCAUUACAGCCAAAUGUAAGUAUAGGGAUCUAUCUUUCUUGACAAUCUCCUUUAUAAUUCAAUUUUGUUUCUCUGGUAGAGUUAUCUAUUUGGCAUUUUUCAACAAAUCAUUUUUACAAAUGUAGAUAAAAAUGACUAAGCAAUUAUUUUAGCACAAUCAUGUAGUCUCAAUAAAUUACUCAAACUGUCUCUUAAGAAUCACUUUUCUCUUUCACUGAUAUCUCAUUUUUUUUAUAUGCCAGAAAAUUAUUAUACUGAUUUUUAAGCAGUGUGCAUUUAUCUUUUUUUCUACCUUAGCCUUUCCUAUCAUGGAUAUCUCUUCAUCGUCAUUUUGUUGUCUCUUCUAACUCUUGGAUAUUUUAUUCUUCCCCAGAUCUUUCAUUACCCUGAGUCUUUGCAAAUUAUAACCCAUAAGUGUUGACCCUUUCUGUGUUUGUUGCUGUGAAAUAGAAGCCUAGUGUGCCCAUUAACUUCAUUUUCUGCUAACCUUUUCUGCUUUGCUUCAUUUAAGUACUUCCCACAUCACUCUAAAACUGACUUUUUGGGGAGAAAUGGCUUCAUGACUCUGGCAGUACUUUUCUACAGCCCUGACUUUUCUCUGAGUAUUAAUAUGCAAAAUCAAAUCUCCAAUUAAGGGGCUCAGAUACAUUUCACUGAGAUGUGACCAAGUAAUUUUGCUUGGUGAGUUGUUCCUUUGAUUUAAUUCUCAUUUACACAAACUCCACUUUUACAGGGAUUGGCAAUAUAAAUGAGAUUGUGUUAAUGUUUAAUCUCUUGUUGUAAUUGACUGCUGAUAAAUAUAAGCAUUUGUCCCUGGAAAUCUUGGGUUGCAUCAUAACAGUCAAAAUCUUCCUGUUUGAAGUGGUUUGCUGUUCAGCUUCAUGAGAUUUUUAGUUAAUCAUCUCAGCAAGGAGAUUCUUCUUCUGUAGUGUGUACAAGAUAAAUCCUAUGGUCCAUUUGGACUCUUGGCAUCCUGAAAUUUAAAACAAUUCACACCAGUUCUGUUAUUCUUUAUGAAAUUUAACAUCAGCAGUAUUCUGAAUUUCUGUAAUGUUUUAAUACUCUGAUUAUGGCUCAUUAUUACUUCUCAGUCUAGACAAUGUUUCCUCCUAACUUUCGCUCACCUCUGUGAAAAUUGAGCAGAAAGGUCUUUGUGUAAUGGCUACAUUUUGUAUUCUGGUAGAUAUUUACUUACAACGACUAAAUUGAAAAAAUAGAUGUAUGACAAUAACUAUGAAACCAUAAAGAAGCAUUCUUCUAUGCACAUAUUUUAGAAGUUCCAAAUAUGUUAUCUUAAGAUGUUUUCCACAGUAAGUUCUACUCUGAAAUAAAAUCUCAUUUGCAU
rnacentral:lncRNA from 7 species